rnacentral:lncRNA from 1 species
AUUAGUUCAGCAACAACUUGACAAGGUGCCUGUGGAGAGGGGCACUUGGAACUUCAUCCUGUGGUAUCAGGAAGGGCCCUCCUGGGGCAGUUUCUCUUCUGAGCCUUGAGGAAUGUCUAGGAUGAUCUUUCCAGGAUACAACGUGCCCAGCAUAAUGACCGGAGAAGACUUAAGUGAAUAUGCUUUUGCCCCAACUUAUGAUCAUUCUAACCACGAAAUAAAUGUCACAUGUAAAUACUGCUGGACACAGGAAGGAAUAUUAUGAAAUCUAGUGGCUAUUAGGAGUUCACAAGCUCAUCUGCAGGAAAGAUUUCUAUUAAACGUGAACUGAAAAUAAAACUUGAGGGACUUCUGAAUUUUCUAUUGGAAAGCACUAUCACUCCUUUGCAAAGUUUCCUCAUUAAAAAAAAAAAAUACCAGGAAUAGUGAUGGAUAACUAAGAAAAACAAAUUUCUGUUCUGCAGGGUAUGAUAGGGUCCAAUUCUGUCUGAGAAACUAGUGAGCCAUAUAAAUAUUGUAUCUGGGUCAACAAACAGCUGUUCAAAAAUAUCUGUGGUAUUUGCUGUUUACUCUGAUUGCCUUGGAUAAUAGUCACUAGGCAACAGGACGGUUUGCUCUUUUGUGCAUGGCGGCUGUUAGUUAAGUUGUUAUAUAACAUGCCAAUGCCUGCUGUCCGUCGCUGAGACCGACUGAGAUGAAUGGUCAUGCAGGGAAGUGUGGAUGCAGAGCCUUCAGAAAUGCAAAACUGACUUAAAGUUCUACGGCAGCCAAUGGGAAAGCAAACUGAAAUCCGAAAUCCUCACAUUUCUUCCAUCAUUCAGUCCAAGAGCCUUUCUGAAUGAAGUCAGCUUUUAUUGCUCAUACAGUGUAUGAUCAAUACAGCAUAUUAUAAAUAUGCAAAGGAGCAUGCAUUCAUUAGAGACAUGAGGAAAGGGUGAGUUUAUGUUCAAAGCAUUUUUGUUUUCUUUCCAAGUUAAGCUUUGUGGUGAGGGGACGUGGUUCACAGGAAGACCAGGCUAGCUCCCUGCACCCCAGGUUCCCUGGGCGUUGAAGGUACAUCAGAUUCAACAAUAAGUGGCCCAAACCUCUUGGAAGAAUGCCAAUGUAGAAGAGAACAAUUGUAAAGAUGGUUGACGAGUUUGGGAGGUGAGGGAACAGGUAAGAAAAAAUGGAGAAAAAUACUGACUUGCUUAUUUGACCUUCAUCCCAUUCAUGGGCAAAUAUUAACCUGCUGCUUUCAAUUCCUUUUUGUCUGCUCCAACAGGCAAACUGGAGGCAUAUGUAUAUAGAGUCAAUGCAGCACACCACAAAGCCAUAUUAAGAAAGGAAGCCACAGAAAUGUUCAACCACAGCUGCUGUAGCCACAACAAGAAACUCACAGGUUGUGGGAAAGACAGCUAUGGCACAAAGGGUUUCUAAAUGAAGGGGAUGGGACUGCCUGUCAAUCCCUAAAGCUUUUAACUCAGGGAGGUCUUUCAAAUAUAUCUCACCUCAAUAGUGGAAGAGAUUUUCUUAAAGCCACUGGUAGAUGCAUUCACAUUGCAUGUUAUAGGUUUGUGGAAUAGGAAUAAAAAUAGCUGAAGUCAUUGUAAUGUGGUUGGAGGUGUUUGUAUCAUCCAGUCUUAAACGCUUAAAAUUUCAAGGCUAAAAUUUAUGAUUGCAAAUGGAGAAAUUGAGAGCACUUUGAAAACAGUUUAUCAGCUACAACU